UUAAGUUAUUAAGGGCGCACGGUGGAUGCCUUGGCACUAGAAGCCGAUGAAGGACGUUACUAACGACGAUAUGCUUUGGGGAGCUGUAAGUAAGCUUUGAUCCAGAGAUUUCCGAAUGGGGAAACCCAGCAUGAGUUAUGUCAUGUUAUCGAUAUGUGAAUACAUAGCAUAUCAGAAGGCACACCCGGAGAACUGAAACAUCUUAGUACCCGGAGGAAGAGAAAGAAAAUUCGAUUCCCUUAGUAGCGGCGAGCGAAACGGGAAGAGCCCAAACCAACAAGCUUGCUUGUUGGGGUUGUAGGACACUCUAUACGGAGUUAUAAAGGACGACAUUAGACGAAUCAUCUGGAAAGAUGAAUCAAAGAAGGUAAUAAUCCUGUAGUCGAAAAUGUUGUCUCUCUUGAGUGGAUCCUGAGUACGACGGAGCACGUGAAAUUCUGUCGGAAUCUGGGAGGACCAUCUCCUAAGGCUAAAUACUCUCUAGUGACCGAUAGUGAACCAGUACCGUGAGGGAAAGGUGAAAAGCACCCCGGAAGGGGAGUGAAAUAGAACCUGAAACCGUGUGCUUACAAGUAGUCAGAGCCCGUUAAUGGGUGAUGGCGUGCCUUUUGUAGAAUGAACCGGCGAGUUACGAUUUGAUGCAAGGUUAAGCAGUAAAUGUGGAGCCGUAGCGAAAGCGAGUCUGAAUAGGGCGUUUAGUAUUUGGUCGUAGACCCGAAACCAGGUGAUCUACCCUUGGUCAGGUUGAAGUUCAGGUAACACUGAAUGGAGGACCGAACCGACUUACGUUGAAAAGUGAGCGGAUGAACUGAGGGUAGCGGAGAAAUUCCAAUCGAACCUGGAGAUAGCUGGUUCUCUCCGAAAUAGCUUUAGGGCUAGCCUCAAGUGAUGAUUAUUGGAGGUAGAGCACUGUUUGGACGAGGGGCCCCUCUCGGGUUACCGAAUUCAGACAAACUCCGAAUGCCAAUUAAUUUAACUUGGGAGUCAGAACAUGGGUGAUAAGGUCCGUGUUCGAAAGGGAAACAGCCCAGACCACCAGCUAAGGUCCCAAAAUAUAUGUUAAGUGGAAAAGGAUGUGGCGUUGCCCAGACAACUAGGAUGUUGGCUUAGAAGCAGCCAUCAUUUAAAGAGUGCGUAAUAGCUCACUAGUCGAGUGACACUGCGCCGAAAAUGUACCGGGGCUAAACAUAUUACCGAAGCUGUGGAUUGUCCUUUGGACAAUGGUAGGAGAGCGUUCUAAGGGCGUUGAAGCAUGAUCGUAAGGACAUGUGGAGCGCUUAGAAGUGAGAAUGCCGGUGUGAGUAGCGAAAGACGGGUGAGAAUCCCGUCCACCGAUUGACUAAGGUUUCCAGAGGAAGGCUCGUCCGCUCUGGGUUAGUCGGGUCCUAAGCUGAGGCCGACAGGCGUAGGCGAUGGAUAACAGGUUGAUAUUCCUGUACCACCUAUAAUCGUUUUAAUCGAUGGGGGGACGCAGUAGGAUAGGCGAAGCGUGCGAUUGGAUUGCACGUCUAAGCAGUAAGGCUGAGUAUUAGGCAAAUCCGGUACUCGUUAAGGCUGAGCUGUGAUGGGGAGAAGACAUUGUGUCUUCGAGUCGUUGAUUUCACACUGCCGAGAAAAGCCUCUAGAUAGAAAAUAGGUGCCCGUACCGCAAACCGACACAGGUAGCAAGAUGAGAAUUCUAAGGUGAGCGAGCGAACUCUCGUUAAGGAACUCGGCAAAAUGACCCCGUAACUUCGGGAGAAGGGGUGCUCUUUAGGGUUAACGCCCAGAAGAGCCGCAGUGAAUAGGCCCAAGCGUACUGUUUAUACAAAAACACAGGUCUCUGACUAAACCGUAAGGUGAUGUAUAGGGGCUGACGCCUGCCCGGUGCUGGAAGGUUAAGAGGAGUGGUUAGCUUCUGCGAAGCUACGAAUCGAAGCCCCAGUAAACGGCGGCCGUAACUAUAACGGUCCUAAGGUAGCGAAAUUCCUUGUCGGGUAAGUUCCGACCCGCACGAAAGGCGUAACGAUUUGGGCACUGUCUCAACGAGAGACUCGGUGAAAUCAUAGUACCUGUGAAGAUGCAGGUUACCCGCGACAGGACGGAAAGACCCCGUGGAGCUUUACUGUAGCCUGAUAUUGAAAUUCGGCACAGCUUGUACAGGAUAGGUAGGAGCCUUUGAAACGUGAGCGCUAGCUUACGUGGAGGCGCUGGUGGGAUACUACCCUAGCUGUGUUGGCUUUCUAACCCGCACCACUUAUCGUGGUGGGAGACAGUGUCAGGCGGGCAGUUUGACUGGGGCGGUCGCCUCCUAAAAGGUAACGGAGGCGCUCAAAGGUUCCCUCAGAAUGGUUGGAAAUCAUUCAUAGAGUGUAAAGGCAUAAGGGAGCUUGACUGCGAGACCUACAAGUCGAGCAGGGUCGAAAGACGGACUUAGUGAUCCGGUGGUUCCGCAUGGAAGGGCCAUCGCUCAACGGAUAAAAGCUACCCCGGGGAUAACAGGCUUAUCUCCCCCAAGAGUUCACAUCGACGGGGAGGUUUGGCACCUCGAUGUCGGCUCAUCGCAUCCUGGGGCUGUAGUCGGUCCCAAGGGUUGGGCUGUUCGCCCAUUAAAGCGGUACGCGAGCUGGGUUCAGAACGUCGUGAGACAGUU
rnacentral:rRNA from 1 species